GAUUUCCAUUCGACUAGCAUUCUUAUCAACCAGAGUACGUAAGGCAAAGAGUCUGAAUCUAAUCAACUUGUUCCGUGCCGCAACAUCCACGUUAUCAUUUGCAGAUAAAGAUAAAAUUUGAAUGAGUUUGCUAUGGACCUGGAGGUAUUGGCUCAAGCAGCCAAUGGUUUUGCUUUUCAAGGUAUUUGAUUAUCAAAAGAGUUAGCAGUCUUUACUGAUUCGUUGGCAGAAGAGCAUCUUAAAGUGGACCUCCCCUUCCCUGCGCGCUCAAAUUAAUAGAAUAAACUUGAGGGCUAUUGAAAGUGGUUUUUCUUCUGCUAAGGGGCCCAUGUAUACUUUUGAUCCUUUGGAUCUGGUCCGCAAUUGCAUCAAAGACCUGCAACCCUAUUUAGAUUCAUAGUGCAGAUUAGCUCAAUUAGGUGAGUAAUUGCACCGAACUGGCGAACCACGUAUACAUUCUUGCGUAGAUCUUCUUGGUUUCUGUUUAUGUUCUUGUGUGAAUGAUUCUCUGAUCUUGGAAGCCUUAUGUGGGCUUGAAUUAUAACAACCACCUUGUCAUAAGGUUUUUUCCUUUUUAAUCUUUCAAUUUACAAUCCAUUCUUAAGGUUU